GGAUGCGAUCAUACUAGCACUAAUGCAUCGGAUCCCAUCAAAACUACGCAGCUAAGCGUGCUUGGACGAGAGUAAUACUAGGAUGGGUAACCACCAGUGAAAUCCUCGUGUUACAUCAC
rfam:Arabidopsis thaliana chromosome 5, complete sequence.